CUCCGGUAUGCUAUAGCUGUUUACACGGUGACUAGUAUAUUUGAAAUGUGUACGGACAAGAGCUAUGGCCUAGUUUUCUAUGCAAAACCUGGGGACAAAGAAAAAGGCUGGGGGAAGGGAGAGACAGGAUGGUACUACUACAUAAAAACCACAGCUCUACAUUUUCUUCUUUCUUCCUGCUUCCAGUAUGUACUUUCAAGACAGCAGGUGCUGAGGGAAACUUUUACUAUCUUAUCUUUUGCAGGAGACUCUGUGCACAUCCUCUAUCCAUGAAACUUGCCUGAACACUGGCAGAACAACCUUUGGAAUACCAUCCUUACACACAUGUACUCACCUUUACUUGGCAACGCCCCCUGACUGAGGACUCGAGCCCUCAGGAACACAUUUUCAAAGAUGUUACAAACCUGGGAUCAGCUGCGAGGUAUUUCUUUAAGUUUUGCUCCUCUUUUUUUCCUUGAGAUAGUCCAAUUAUAAAGUAUUUGUCUCUGAUAACAGGGAAAUCAUCUAACAGGCUUCUUAGGCUGUUGUAGUAUGCAAUGAGCUGACCUCUCAGGGCAUGUUGGGACACACGCUGGUUCAGCCUGAAAAGGCAUAAUUAAAAUACAGUGUUGUGCAGCACGUAAUCUGUCCAGAGAAGCUCUCCUGUUGUUGAGCCUAAUCUCUUUUCAUAUGGCCAUCUCUGGCAUCUUCCACAGCAAAAUUUACAAGCUAUAAAUAUGACAAUUUUGCCGCACUGUGACAACUAGACGGACAAAAAACAUGAAAGUGGCAUUUACAAAGCAAAGGAAAUUUUAGAUUUAACACUUUUCACCAGAUAGAUGUCUUCACAGUGCUUUGGAAAUAUUCAUAAAUUAAUCCAGCAACCGCUUUGUGGUAGCUAUUGAUACUUACAUUACAAUAGGGAAGCUGAAGCAAGAAGAAACCAAGUGACAUGAGUUAAUUGCAGAACUGGGAAUUAAAACAAGACAAUGUGACCCUGAGUCAGAUUUCAUAAUCAGUCAGCUGCACUGAGACUCCACUCCAACAAAACUCCGCUCCAGCAAAACUCCAGUCCAACCUGCAAGCUGUCUCCAGAAAACUCAGUCUGGCCUUACCUAUAUACUCAAUACACUGAACCUGGGCUAAAGGUAGUCUGCAUUUGCAGUGUGACACAAAGGUAUGCAAAAGGGAAC
rnacentral:lncRNA from 1 species